AUUCCAUGAUGAGGAAAAUUUUGAAGCAUCUCUUUGUAGCGUUUCCAAGCUUCACAUAAAGUUUCACCAGACUGCUAAAAAUAUUGAGUGAGAGCAUUCCUGAUUGC
rfam:Daucus carota subsp. sativus cultivar DH1 chromosome 6, whole genome shotgun sequence.